CACGUAGGGCGCAAGCGUUGUCCGGAAUUAUUGGGCGUAAAGAGCUCGUAGGCGGUCUGUUGCGUCCGCUGUGAAAACCCGGGGCUUAACCCCUGGCUUGCAGUGGAUACGGACAGACUAGAGGUAGGUAGGGGAGAAUGGAAUUCCCGGUGUAGCGGUGAAAUGCGCAGAUAUCGGGAGGAACACCGGUGGCGAAGGCGGUUCUCUGGGCCGAUACUGACACUGAGGAGCGAAAGCGUGGGGAGCGAACAGG
rnacentral:rRNA from 1 species